UGGAAAACACCCGGAGAAACAUCCGUGUAUUUAUGUAGCAAGGUUGCAGAGCGGUUUGGGAUAGGGGCGGGGAGGGGGGCGGGGUAGGUCCGGGGGCUUUUAGGGAAUUUCGGGGGUGGGAGAAGGGAGGGGGGCGGGAGCUGCGGGCUUUGUGUUGUUUCUGUUGUUGACUUGCAGGUGAAGAGGCGGCCGGAAUUCCCGCUCGGUUUUCCCGGGAAAAGCCGGCUCGAGCUCCAGGACUGGGAUGGAGGAUUUCCAGGCGCGGCCGCGGGGCUGCUCCCGGGCUUUUUGGGACUCCGGGAAUCUCCAGAUCCAGGGGGGGUUUUUUUUUUGGGAUUUUUCGUUUUUUCCACGGAUGCGAGGUUUCCUCCCCGGCCAUCCAGGAGCUGGUUUGGUUCUUCUUUUUUUUUUUUCUUUUUCUUUUUUUUUUUGGGGAAAAGGAGGAGCUUGGGAAUUUUGCAUCGGGAAUUUUGCACUGUCCACGGAGCGGGGUUGGGGCGGGGGGGGAAGAGGAUUCAGGAAAACUCGGAAAAUCGGGAUGGAGGCCGCGUCGUUCCCGGCGGAUUUCCGGGGAAAAUUCCCCUUUUCCCGCCUUUUUUUUCUCUCUCUCGCAGAAGCCAUGAGCAAAACUCUCCAAACUUUUUCAGGGAAUGGGAACGGGAAUAACACAAAAUUAACCGGAUGCCUUUAAUCCUAACGCAUUAAAAAUGUUGGGGUUUGGUUCUUUUCGUUUCCGUGUGCCCGCAGCGGGAGUUUUUUUCCCCGCUGUGGAAUCCGUGUGGGUGGAAUUUUUGGGAAUGCUUGGAAGGAGCGCUGGAAUGAUUGUGGUGAGUCCCGGGAACGCCGGAAUUCCCGGCGCCAUUCCCAGAUUUUUGGACCCUCCCCCUUUCUCCCCGUUUGACUCAUGCCUUAAAGAAAAAACAAAACAAAAAAAAACCACGUUUGGACUUUUUCUGGGAAUUUUCUUCCGGGAGCGCUCGGAUUUCGUGGAUCCUUCCCGGUUUUUGGGGGGGCAAUCCCAAAUCCCGCCGUUCCCCGCUCAGCAGAGGAAUUCCGGAGGCUCUGGAUUGCGCUGCCAGCGGGAUCAGCCCCCGGAGGAGCCUGGAAUUCCCAAGGAUUCGCUCCCGGAGCCCGGAAUUCCCAAGGAUUCGCUCCGGGAGCCCGGAAUUCCCAAGGAUUCGCUCCGGGAGCCCGGAAUUCCCAAGGAUUCUCCCCCGGAGCACAAACGUCGGGAAUGCCGGGGGGGGCAGAGAAUUCCCUGCUGGAAGAAGAGCCAGGAGCGAUUCCCAAAGUCCCAGCCCGGCCGGGUUGGGGAUCCUUGGAAUGUGGAGUUCAAAGAAUUUGGGGUGGAAAACCCCUGGAUUAUCCCAAAAAACACAAAAACAAAACCACACAAAAUAAACCCAACCACCGCGGAGAGGGCGCGAGGAGGAACUCAGGAAUUACACGAGGAGGCCUUUCCCGGAAUUCCCGCCGCCGAUCCCAGCUCCGAGGGCCGGAACCGUCGGGAAGAACAAACACAGACAAAAAAAAAGGGGGGAAAACCCUGGAAUUUUCCCCCUCCAAUCCUUCGGGUUCCAGGCGAAAUCCCACGGGAGGAGCAGGAGGAAAGUCGGAGUUUUUGUGGCUUUAAAAAGGAAUUUUUGGGAUCGGGGGUUUUUUUUGGGAAGGGUGGGAAUGUUGGGGUUUUUUGUUUUCACAGCCAUUGCACUGCAAAAAAGAAAAAAAAAAAAAAAAAAAAAAAAGCAGGAAGAGGAAGGAAAAACAGAAAAAUAAAGCAGGAAGAGGAGAAGGAAAACGUUUAAAAAACAACGGAUUUAAAGGAAAAAAAAAAAUCAACCAGAUCAGAAUUUUCUGGAGAAAAAAAUCGGAAGUUUCAAGGAAAAAUUCCUAAAAUUCCAGCGUGCCAAACCAUUUAAUAGAAAACAAACCCUCGGGAAGUUGGGAAUGGUUGGAAUUCUCUCCUGGAUGAAUUUGCCCCGGAGCAUGAUCCCGUUUUUCCAGCUGUUUUUUUUUUUUUUUUUGGUUUUUUUGUUAAUUUCGCUUCUUUUUCGUAGCAAAUCCGUAGGAAAAAUGUAAAAAAAAAAAAAAAACAAAAAAAAAAACCACAAAAAAGACUUUUGAUGGGACAGCCCCAAAAAGGGGAAAUUUCUGGGGAGGAAUUUCCCAAAAAGGGGGAAAAGGAGGGGAAAUCCAACAGCAUUAAUGGGGCUGUCCCGGAUCUUUUUAUUUAUUCCAUAAUUAUGUUGAGGUUUUUUAUUAUUUUAAGCUGUUUUUUCUGUUGGUUUCUUUCUUUUUUUUCGCGUCUCCGCAUCCUGGUGGGAUUGAGAAAAAAAAACCAGGAAUUUUCUCUCGGUUGAAAUCAUCAAAAAUCCGGAAAAACUUUGGAUUUUCCGGGGAAAACUUUGAUUUUCUUUGUUUUUUUUUUUAAAAAGCGCUUUUUAAACCGAUAUUUACGCUUUUCUUUGGGUUCCAAAACCCCUUUUUCGAGGGAUUUCGAGGGAUUUGAACUCUCCCCGGUGGGAAUCCAUCGGGAAAAGUGAUGGAAUUUGGGAUGGGGAGCGUGGCUUUGUACAUAGGGUGUAAAGUAGAGGGGCAGAAAAACAAAAACACAAAAAAAAAAAAAAGACAAAAAAUCCGAAAUUUGUGCCUUUAAAAAAUUCCGAUUUCUAUAAAAAUCAGAUUUAAAAAAGGGUUGCAUAUAUAUAUUAUAUAUAUAUAUGAUGGAGUGCUAGAGAAAUUUAUGGAUAAUAUACAUAUUUUUUUCCAGGGGUAUCCCAUAGCUCCGUAUUUUGUUAUGGAAGUUGAAAAAAAAAAAACGGAAAAAAGGAAAAAAAAAAAAAAAAAAAAACCUGAAAAAUAAAAGUAUUUUACCUCGAAUUCA
ensembl:lncRNA